rnacentral:rRNA from 1 species
AUUGAACGCUGGCGGAAUGCUUUACACAUGCAAGUCGAGCGGCAGCGCGGGGCAACCUGGCGGCGAGCGGCGAACGGGUGAGUAAUGCAUCGGAACGUGCCCAGUCGUGGGGGAUAACUGCUCGAAAGAGCAGCUAAUACCGCAUACGACCUGAGGGUGAAAGCGGGGGACCGUAAGGCCUCGUGCGAUUGGAGCGGCCGAUGUCAGAUUAGCUAGUUGGUGGGGUAAAGGCCUACCAAGGCAACGAUCUGUAGUUGGUCUGAGAGGACGACCAGCCACACUGGGACUGAGACACGGCCCAGACUCCUACGGGAGGCAGCAGUGGGGAAUUUUGGACAAUGGGCGCAAGCCUGAUCCAGCAAUGCCGCGUGCAGGAAGAAGGCCUUCGGGUUGUAAACUGCUUUUGUCAGGGAAGAAAUCUUCUGGGCUAAUACCCCGGGAGAAUGACGGUACCUGAAGAAUAAGCACCGGCUAACUACGUGCCAGCCGCCGCCGUAAUAC